ensembl:lncRNA
CAACGGCUGAACGAUGCAACAGUGUGUCUGUGCUCAACUCAGUCAACAACACGACAUGGAAGAAACCUAGUAGAAGCUGUGUUUGUGAUUUUACUUUGCAGAAAACAUGAGGAGAUCAAGAAGAGAGCCGAAUGCGGUGCUUGUGGGAUCAAAAAGCUCCCGGAAAUAUCUUGUCAGAAACAUCAUCCUGGGAAGACAGACGUUUGAUCCUUGAGAUGCAACAUCCCACUGUGAAAGAGGAGAGGGAGACUUAUGUGGGAGGAGGGUGUUGUUGGUCAAAGCUCCCAGGUGGCUGAGAGGAUAUCGACUCUGCGAUACACCUGAACUCUUCAAAACAGAGGCAAUCCUCAGCGUCACUCUGUGUCCACCUCCGCUGCAUGGUUUCAUCCUGGCAAUUAAUACCGAACUGCCUUUCAAAGACACGUACAGGAAGGCAACAAAGGAGCACUUGGAGCAUUUUUUGGGGAGAAGGUUUGGGAUCACACCAUAGUGGUCUUCAGCCACAGAGGCCAUCCAGUCCACAAAACCAUCGAAGAUCACAUCGAUUCAGAAGGGGCGCUGCUCCAAUCGCUUCUGGAGGCCUGCGGUAAAAGAUAUCACAGCCUCUGUGAUGAUGGCACCGACGACGAGGUAAAGUUCAAUAAGCUGUUUGAGAAGAUUGAUGCAAUGGUGGCAAAAAGCGGCUAUUACCAAAGUGACAGUAUGCUGGUGCAGAGUGUUGAGGAGGAAAGAAGUGGACAAAAAGGCAGAGGAGCUGCAUCUACAGGCUCAGCAGCAAAGGCGAAAACUCAGAGGUCUCCUGACAGUGAGUGAAAGUAUGACGUCCGAGAAAUCUGGAAAAGCGGAAGAAGAAGAAAUGGAGCAGCAACACGAAGUUGAUCCGUUUCUGAGCUCUUUGGAAGCAGCUACUGUAGAAGAUGCAGGAACCGACCACAUGAACCUCUGGAUGGGGCUGCUGGAGAGAGAGUGUAGCACACCAGCUGGAGACACUUCUACAGCGCUUCAUUUGAAGAUGAGAGAGCAGCCUCUGAACCAGACAGCGACGAGCUGCUGAAAUCGAGAGAAAAAGUGGCUUCGUGGCUGAAAUAAGAACCUGCUCAUCUGAGCAGCACUAGUUCAGGCUGUGAGACGCUAUCGAUCAGCAGGGAAGCAGAGCAGGAGUCGGCCUGGAUAAACUGAUUUAUUGCACUUCAUUCUGCCAGCAUGAUUGAGACAUCCGGGGUCUUAAUCAAUGGGAAAUAUCAUUUUAUUGACUACAAUCAAGAGGAAAAUAAUCAGCACUGAUGAGCUUGCAGCUGAUUAGGCUACACUGAUUAGAUUCUUCUGUCUGCUGAAACAAUACUAACACCUUCUUUUUUUAAUUGCAGAUUAUUCAUGCUGUAAUAAUUAUUAUAUCAAUGACAAAAAAGCAAAACUUCACUUGGAUGUCCUCCCGCAUUACCAAAAGAGCGCAGUUUCUUUCUCAGUUCAACCAAUUAAGGCUAUUUCUGGAUGAAAGCUUUUGAUAAUUCACAUCCUCAGCUGGAAAAAAUGUCAGUUUUGUUAUUUUGUGAUUUUAAACUCAAAUAUUUUUUUAAAAAAAAAAUAAACAUCAGCAAAAGAUGAUAAUGUGCUAUUAAUCUGACAAAAAGAACCACUCACUCACUUCUUUACACUGUUUACUCCUUUCCUUGUGAAUCUGUACAGCAGAGAUGUAUGCUAAGCUAGUGGAGAAUGUAUAUGCUGAAUACUAGAGGCUCCUGCCUGACCACAUGCACACAUUUUGUGGAGAGAAGUAGCAUGAACAACACACCAUUUCUGUUUAGAGAAAUGGUGUGUUGUUCAGAGAAAAAGUGUGCUUUCUAAAGUCCACCUGCCUGGUGAAAGUGAGCAGCCUGUAAAAAAAAAAAAAAAAGAAGUAAAUAAAGUUAACAGAAGUCCUCACCUGAGUUUCUUCCUUGCGGAGGCCAUCUUGUUUAGGAAGUUAAGAAGGGGGCACACCUCUAAAGGAGGUCUUUUAUUGGUUCACUGAGUAGGCGGGAUUUCAAAUAUGAUUGGGCUGGAGGUGCAUCCUGAUUGGUCAGUUUAAACUGAAGAGACAAGCCCCUUCUCUGUAUAUGUGAGUGUAAUAGAAGAAAAAAGGAAUAGUUUGUUCAUGAAAGCAGCAGUGUUGCUCCGCUAACUGUUGAAUGCAGUUUGUGAAAGUUUUCUUGUAAGUUUUUUUUUAAAUUCUCUUGCUAUUUCUGUUUGUUUUUCUUCCUUUUGGAGAUGUGCUGUGCCCAUUUGUCCUCCACAUACCUCCAAAGGCGACCUACAGCUCUCCUUGGAAAACAGUUACAACUCCUUUACAAGUAGAGACAUGAGAUGAGAUGAGAUGAGAUGAGAUGAGAUGAGAUGAGAUGAGAUGAGAUGAGAUGAGAUGAGAUGAGAUGAGAUGAGAUGAGAUGAGCAGUGCUACAGCAGCCAAAUACAUCUAGGAAAUGUGAUACAAAAUAAAACUAAACCAAAAUAUACAUAAGGACUCGUUAUAGAAGUAACUUUAUUGCACAUGUCAGUUGUAGUGCAUAGAUUCUUUCAUGAACAGAAAUACUGAGAGAAGUAUUAAUAUUGUAAAUAAGUAAAAAAAAUACCUGUGUAGCACAAGUUUGCACUGAAGUUGUGUCCAACCCUUUCACAUCAGCAGACCCCUCUGUGGACGUCCAGGUGCUAUAUAAGGUUUGUGUAACCCAGGUACAGUGGGACACUGCAAUAGUUUUGUUGGUCAUCAAGCAGAAAGCCUGCUCUUUAUUCGUUUUUUUCCUUGAGAUUUAGAAAAUCUUAAACGGACUUUGCAUUUUGAGCAAUUUGAACUGUUAUGCUUGUGAACUUGAAGCUUAAUGAAUUGUAUAAAUUAGAUACUUGUUAUUUUAAUUUUCAUUUUGUAAUCCUUUGUUUUAAUUGAUUGUAUUUGCUGUUUUCCUUGAUUUACAUCAAGUGUUUUGAUUUAAUACAGUUGGUUAGUUUCAGCAUCCUUUCUCUUCCUUUUGUAGGAAUUACAACUCGAGCUCCCCAGAGGAUGCAGCCAUCUCUUACACUGAGCUCCAUUUUCCUCUGGUGGAAUGCCUUAAGGUUUGGAUCAGUUACUGCAGGCCAUCCUUUGAGGAUGUAUUCAUGUACUUGUGAUAAUACAGAAUCUUUUGAGGUCCAGCUCUUUAUCUGCUUUGCACUUAUCAGUGUCUCAUCUAGUAUGUCCAUCAUUAGCACUUGCUCAGUCCUCUCCUCUUUCCUUAAUUUGACAGGGACUGGCAAUCUGCUCAACGCGUCUGCAUUUGCGUGAUGUUUGCCUGGUUUGUAGACAAUGUUGUACUGGUAUGCACUGAGUUUGACAGCCCACCUUUGUACUCUUGGUGAUCCCAUUUGAGGAAUUGGCUUCUUUUCAUUGAACAGAUAGAUCAAUGGCUUGUGAUCUGUGUAAAUUGUGAAGUUGCGACCGUACAAAUAUUUGUGAAGCUUCUCAAUUCCAAAUAUGACCGCAAGUCCUUCUUUGUCCAACUGAGAGUAUCUUGUCUCAGCAGAUUGCAAAGUACGAGAAACGAAUCCAACCGGUCUCUCACUUCCAUCUUCCAUGACGUGUGACACUACUGCACCUACUCCAUAAGGUGAAGCAUCGCAUGACAAAACUAACUCUCGGUCAGCUGAGUAGUGUACUAGAACAUCUGAUGUGUUUAGCAAGUCCUUGGCAUUUUGGAAUGCCUCUUCUUGUUCUUUAUUCCAUUUCCAGCGAACAUCAUGUCUUAACAGUUCGUGCAACAGUGCCAACCGGGUUGCCAAGUUAGGAAGGAACUUCUUGUAGUAGUUUAACAAUCCCAAGAAUGAUUUAAGCUCUGUUAUAUUUGCUGGUGCUGGCACAACUUGAAUUGCUCUGACUUUUUUAUCCACUGGGUGUAGUCCUUGUGCGUCGACUCUGUACCCCAGGUACUCCACUUCAUCCUGAAGAAAUGUGCAUUUGUUUCUCCUGAGACGUAAUCCAGUCUCUUUCAGUCUCUUUAGCACAAUGUCUAAGUUCUUGAUAUGAUCAGAUACAUCCACACCACUGACCAAAAUGUCAUCCAAAUACACUGCGACCAGGGGGAUGCCACUUAAAAGACUCUCCAUCGUUCUCUGAAAUAUGGCCGGAGCGGAGGCCACACCGAACGGUAGUCUGCUGUAGGUGAACAAACUUCUGUGCGUGUUUACUGUGAGGUAUUUCUUGGAGUCGUCAUCCAUGAGUAUUUGUUGAUAAGCGUGACUCAUAUCUAACUUCGAAAAUUGCUUACCCUUUGCAAGUGCAUUGAACAAAUCCUCUACUCUGGGUAUUGGACACUGCUCAACUGAUGACACUGUGUUUACAGUUAGUUUGUAAUCACCACAUAAUCUGACUGUGCCCACUGGUUUCAGGAUGGGUACUACUGGUGCUGCCCAUUCUGAAUACUUCACCGGUGUGAUGAUGUCCUCUUUCAGCAAUCUGUCAAUUUCCUCAUCCACUCUUGCUCUCAUGGCAUAAGGAAUCGACCUUGGACGGAAGAAGCGUGGAACAGCAUUUUCUUUCACAUGAAUAGUGGCUUUGGUGCCCUUUAAUGUGCCCAGCUCCUCCUUCAAAACUUCCUCAUGUAUGCACAGCACUUCCUGUAAUUUCUCAUUUGCCUCCUUCUCUGAGUACAUAUGGUGCACUUGACGAGCUUUGUAUCUGGCUUUUAUUUCUUUCCAAUCAAGUUGAAUGUCUUCCAUCCAACCUCGGCCCAGCAAGGAAGGACCCUCUCCUUUCACGACCACGAGGGGCAGUUUGGCUCUUUGCUUUUUGUACUUCACAUGGACAUGAGCUGCUCCAACAACUUUCACUGGAUCUCCUGUAUAGGUCUCCAACUUAAUCCCGACUUGUUUAAUGUGGGGAGUUUUCGUGUUUUUCCACAUUGUUUGAAAUGUCUUUUCAUUCAUUACGGUGAGACUGCAGCCUGUGUCAAUCUCAAAAUUAACUCUCUUCCCAUUCACUUUCAUGCUUUCCGUGUAUGGAUCCACUUUUCUUAGGUGUAUUUCACUCAUACGCCCUAGCUUAAACUUCAUACUUUGUAAUGCAAAAGUAUUUUCCUCUGAACUCUCAGAGUGGCUUUCUUCUGUUUGUUCUUUAACUUUAUGUGAACGAUAGCUUGAAUGAGACUUCUCAUUUUUCACAGUUCCUGAUUUUGCAUUUCCUUUGUUUGCCUUUAUUCUGACAAGCUCUAGCAAUAUGGCCAACUUUACCACAUGCAUGACAUUUUUCUUGUUUAAAUUUACAUUCUGCAGCAUUAUGUUGUCCUUUGCAACGAUAACACUCUUGAACACUGCUGCUCUUGAACGCGCUCCUCUGAUGCGUACCUUUGUGCAGCUUGAAGCACUUGGCUGUUGCACUUGGAUUCUGGAGGUCAUGUGCAUUUUUAUUUGCCGUUUCUGCCGCGACUGCAAUGGACAAGGCUUUUUCACACGUUAGAUCUGUCUCUACCAGAAGUCGUCUUUAAAUCCGGUCAUCAUUUAUUCCACAUACGAUCCUAUCUCUCAACUUCUGCUCCAGCGUGUUGCCAUAAUUACAGUCCUGUGCCAGCCUGCGCAGCUCUGCUACGUAUUCCAUCACUGAUUCAUUUGGCUUACGACUGCAAGAAUCAAACUUGUACCUCUGGACAAUUUCACUUGGUUUGGGGUCGAAGUGGUUUUUCAGCAACGUCACAAGUUGUUGUCUCUCUCACUUGUAGACAUGACCAGAGGAGCUAAACUGGACCCAGGAUUCACCUGGAGGCAGCAUAGACCUACGAACUGGAGCAGGUGGAAGCUGAAUUAGUGAGGAUGACUCCUGCUCCUGUCAUCUCUAAGCUCCUCACACAUCUUUACCUGCACAUGAGGAAAAUCACUCCUGUAGAAUGCAGAUGUUCAGAGGCAGAUGAUGCCACAUCUGGUCCAGCUGAUGGAAGGUCUUGAAGUUCUCUGACUGGCCUGGACUGAAGAUGGUCGUCUCACUGGAUUUAAGGUUCAGAUGCUGUUAUUUGUUUAGUCCAGACUAAAUGACAAAAAUCCACAACUGUAAUUAGUUUUUUUCCCUGUUAAAAGGGUGUUUUCCUGCCACUGUCACCUUAGGGCUGCUCUGGGGUUCAGGCAUAUGGGUUCUGUAAAGCGUCUCGAGACAAUUUUACUGUAAUUGGUGCUGUAUAAAUAAAAUUAAAUUGAAAAAUUUGAAUUGAAUUAAUUUUAUUUCAGGACUCGGUUAUUAAAUGUCAAAACAAUCCAUGUGACUCUAAAAACUCAACAGCUUUACAAACUCUAAGAUUAAACUCUCCACAAGGAUCCAAAAUAAGUUGGACUUCUACAUGAGAGCUUUAAUUAUUCUUCUACUUCCUGAAAAGUUUGGUCAGUAAAAAAGAAAAAAACUAAUGUUUUCAGCUGAACUAAAGACAGACUUUGUGAUUUUUCUGCUCACAUGUUGUGUUGUUGUAAACUUCCUCUUUUUAAUAAAUAUCCUCCUAACCCCCUGGAAACCAGCGUUUGUCUGUUUUUGUGUUGCUCCUCUGCGACCCUAGACAGCCAGGUCCUAAUGUUUUUGAGCAACACACCAUACUAUGACGUUUUUACAAUGAUGGUUCUACUAUGGAACCAGUUUGACAUGUUCAGGCGUUCUUUGUGUGAAAACUCAGAGAUUUCAGGGAUCAGAAGAUGGUUUUCAACUUUCUUUGUUAACUUUCUGCUUCAA